UUGCAGUGAUGACUUGAGU
rnacentral:miRNA from 1 species